rnacentral:lncRNA from 1 species
GUAACACACAUGCAAUAUCCCGCUGUCAUCCAACACCAUGAAGAAAACAAAAGAACUGGCAGUUCAAAAGAGACAGAUGGUCGUAGACCGUCAUAAAUCUGGGGCAGACACAUUGGGGACUUCAGGAGAAGAUCCAUCUGCUUCCCCUCAACAAAACAAUACAAUCCAAUACAUCUUACUGGCUGUUUUACCAGUCAUACUGAUCAUCGCUGGAGUGGCUUUGUACAUAUACAAGAGAAACAAAGGAAAGAAAAACACGGAGGAGAAAAGUAGUGGGGGCAAAACAGAAGGAGAGAAAAAGGAUGAUCCCUCUGUAAUGUAUGAUACGGUUCAAGAACCCAGAAACAACAACCAAGAGGAGACAACAACACCCCUCAGUGCUCCAGAGGAUCCCUCAGUGACAUACUCCACCAUCGUCCACAUGAAAGGAAAAAGGAACGCAGUAGUGAGUCUGGAGAGAGGUGGAGAAACAGAGUACGCCACUAUCAAGACAGGCACGUUCUCCUAGAGCCACUGUACAAUAG